rnacentral:rRNA from 1 species
CUACCUACGGGGGGCAGCAGUGGGGAAUAUUGCACAAUGGGGGAAACCCUGAUGCAGCGACGCCGCGUGAGUGAAGAAGUAUUUCGGUAUGUAAAGCUCUAUCAGCAGGGAAGAAAAUGACGGUACCUGACUAAGAAGCCCCGGCUAACUACGUGCCAGCAGCCGCGGUAAUACGUAGGGGGCGAGCGUUGUCCGGAAUCACUGGGCGUAAAGGGCGCGUAGGCGGUAAUAUAAGUCAGAUGUGAAAGGUGGGGGCUCAACCCCUAGAGUGCAACUGAUACUGUAUAACUUGAGUGUGAGAGAGG